GCCAGGCAUGGUGGUGCAUGCCUGUAAUCCUAGUGGCUCGGGAGGCAGAGGCAGGAGGAUCGCAAGUUCAAAGCCAGCCCCAGCAAUUUAGCGAGGCCCUAAGCAACUCAGUGAGACCCUGUCUCUA
rnacentral:sRNA from 1 species